rnacentral:rRNA from 1 species
CGUCAUAGAGGGUGAGAAUCCCGUCUGUGACCGGUGACCGAUCCCAUGCGAAACCCCUUCGACGAGUCGAGUUGUUUGGGAAUGCAGCUCAAAAUGGGUGGUAAAUUUCAUCUAAAGCUAAAUACUGGCUGGAGACCGAUAGCGCACAAGUAGAGUGAUCGAAAGAUGAAAAGCACUUUGGAAAGAGAGUCAAAAAGUACGUGAAAUUGUUGAAAGGGAAGCGCUUGCAACCAGACCUGUCCGUGGGUGAUCAGCCGCCGUUCUCGGUGGUGCACUCGCCUACGAUCAGGCCAGCAUCGGUUCGGGCGGCCGGACAAAGGCCUUGGGAAUGUAGCUCCUCUCGGGGAGUCUUAUAGCCCUCGGUGCAAUGUGGCCAGCCCGGACCGAGGACCGCGCUUCGGCUAGGAUGCUGGCGUAAUGGUUGUAAGCGACCCGUCUUGAAACACGGACCAAGGAGUCUAACAUCUAUGCGAGUGUUUGGGUGUUAAACCCAUACGCGGAAUGAAAGUGAACGGAGGUGAGAACCCUUUAGGGCGCAUCAUCGACCGAUCCAGAUGUCUUCGGAUGGAUUUGAGUAUGAGCAUAGCUGUUGGGACCCGAAAGAUGGUGAACUAUGCCUGAAUAGGGUGAAGCCAGAGGAAACUCUGGUGGAGGCUCGC